rnacentral:rRNA from 1 species
CCUACGGGAGGCAGCAGUGGGGAAUAUUGGACAAUGGGCGAAAGCCUGAUCCAGCAAUGCCGCGUGAGUGAUGAAGGCCUUAGGGUUGUAAAGCUCUUUUACCAGGGAUGAUAAUGACAGUACCUGGAGAAUAAGCUCCGGCUAACUCCGUGCCAGCAGCCGCGGUAAUACGGAGGGAGCUAGCGUUGUUCGGAAUUACUGGGCGUAAAGCGUACGUAGGCGGUUAUUCAAGUCAGAGGUGAAAGCCCGGGGCUCAACCCCGGAACUGCCUUUGAAACUAGAUAGCUAGAAUCUUGGAGAGGUUAGUGGAAUUCCGAGUGUAGAGGUGAAAUUCGUAGAUAUUCGGAAGAACACCAGUGGCGAAGGCGACUAACUGGACAAGUAUUGACGCUGAGGUACGAAAGCGUGGGGAGCAAACAGGAUUAGAUACCCUGGUAGUCCACGCCGUAAACGAUGAUAACUAGCUGUUCGGGCACUUGGUGCCUGAGUGGCGCAGCUACGACAUUAAGUUAUACCGUCCGUCGGGUAGGUACGGUCGCGAGAAUUAAAACGUUAAAAGGUAAAGUUAGUACGGCGUGAGACGUGCCGACGGACGACGACGAGGGAGGUAGG